UCGAGGGGUAUGUUUCUUCGGAGACAGAGACCGGCGCACGGGUGCGUAACGCGUAUGCAAUCUGCCUUUCACAAAGGGAUAGCCCAGAGAAAUUUGGGUUAAUACCUUAUAGUAUAAUUGAGUGGCAUCAUUUAAUUAUUAAAGAUUUAUCGGUGAAAGAUGAGCAUGCGUCCCAUUAGCUAGUUGGUAAGGUAACGGCUUACCAAGGCGACGAUGGGUAGGGGUCCUGAGAGGGAGAUCCCCCACACUGGUACUGAGACACGGACCAGACUCCUACGGGAGGCAGCAGUGAGGAAUAUUGGACAAUGGGCGCAAGCCUGAUCCAGCCAUGCCGCGUGCAGGAUGAAGCAUCUAUGGUGUGUAAACUGCUUUUAUACGGGAAGAAGCCCCGCCUCGUGAGGCGGACUGACGGUACCGUAAGAAUAAGGACCGGCUAACUCCGUGCCAGCAGCCGCGGUAAUACGGAGGGUCCAAGCGUUAUCCGGAAUCAUUGGGUUUAAAGGGUCCGUAGGCGGCCCGAUAAGUCAGCGGUGAAAUCUCCCGGCUCAACCGGGAAAUGGCCAUUGAUACUGUCGGGCUUGAAUUAUUGGGAAGUAACUAGAAUAUGUAGUGUAGCGGUGAAAUGCUUAGAGAUUACAUGGAGUA
rnacentral:rRNA from 1 species